rnacentral:lncRNA from 1 species
GAGCAACAUGCAAUUAAUGUUCUGAUUCUUUCAAGAUGUUGCCUAUAGGCACAUUUAACCCAUGUCCCACAAUCAGUGUUUACAGGUAGGCCUAACUGGAAUCUGAGCCUGUGCAUUGAAUAACCCGAAAAGCAAACACAUGCAUUACUGUCAACAUGCAGUAGCACUGAGCACUACAAAGAAGUUGCUUAUUUGGAUACAAAGACCAAUCCUAAGCCAGCUUUUGUUUCAGUUGGAAAUUGCCCGCUCAAAUUAACGCUUUCACAAACAAUGCAUCAUUUGGGUCAUCAUUUCGCUGUGUGAUACGAUCAGGGAAGCAAGUCUGAAGUUCUUCUACUGAAAGCCUGUAUCUUUUGCCUGUUUUCUAGAAUCAGUCGAACCAUAUCGAAAAAUUCAAAUUAUCUACAGAGAUGGGUCGUCUACAGAAUAAAGAAAUAUCGUAUAUGCCGAUCAUUGAAAAUGGGUUCGCAAAAACGUCUAACUCAUCGAUUAAAUUUGGGAAUGGCAAGAAGAAGCAUACCAAUCAUCUAUAGACGAUAGAGGUCUGGGAGGAAGAGAAGUUAAGCAUUCUAGAAGCAAUGACAUAAGCAGUGGACCCAUCCUUGGCAACAACAUGACUUCUUCAGCAUGUUCAUGGAAAUUUAAUCUAAU